GACACAAACACGACAAUUGAAGACAAGCUAGACAAUACGACAAACAUUGGUAACGAGCUUUAAGCACAGUUAAUCUGUGUAUAUACUACCUGUUAUAAAAUACAGAUCGCGCAUGAAUGACCCAGAAAAGGGAUUUAAACCAGACAUAAACACAGUUAACAGGGUAAAAAAAACCGAAAUAAUAUUGGACACACUCACCCAGGUCUUGUUAUGUGUAACGUGGGACUCUAUACGUCUUUUGAUCAAAUCACGUGAGCUUUGGAUUUCAUGUGAAUGCUCUAAGCUUGUUGUCAAUUCGUAAAACAGUGUGUGGGAUUCCUGGUGUUAAAUAUGCCUUAAUAAUGAUGACGUACAAUAUCAGCGAGAAAAACUUCCGUGUCAAAAUCAGUACAAUCUUGUUGAGAAGAUGGUUUGGUUUUUGAUAAAUUUGCUUUGAGGAUUGCACAUGAUUUUGAAAACCAAAGUAUAUUGUUUUUGCUUCUCGAUUUGUGCUGUCGUGUAACUCGUGAAUGUUUGUUUGCGUCGUCUGUUUGACAUGCUGGGUUUACGACUUAUAUUUAGAAAUAACAACUCUUACAAAGAGCGACGGGAAGUUGUUUUCCUUUAAUAUGAUUGGCUGUAGAAACUUUCAAAUUUUGCAUAUUACCAAUGCUGCAAUCAAUUUUUAUUUAAGUUUCACUAUUAUAUGCCCUUUAUAUUAAUAUUAAGAUGUCUAUGGUUAAACAACAAACCGAUAGAAUUUACUAGUAGUUCAGAAUCAAUCAUUAAUUCAGAAUCGA